rnacentral:rRNA from 1 species
GACAUGUUCGUCGCGACUCUAAGAGAUUAGAGUUUUCGGUUCGGCCGGACGAUACACAGGUGCUGCAUGGCUGUCGUCAGCUCGUGUCGUGAGAUGUUGGGUUAAGUCCCGCAACGAGCGCAACCCUCACUUUUAGUUGCCAUCAUUAAGUUGGGCACUCUGAAAGUACUGCCAGUGAUAAGCUGGAGGAAGGUGGGGAUGACGUCAAGUCCUCAUGGCCCUUACGUGUUGGGCUACACACGUGCUACAAUGGUAUCUACAACAGGAAGCAAAACUGCGAAGUUAAGCAAAUCCCUAAAAGAUACCUCAGUUCGGAUUGCACUCUGCAACUCGAGAGCAUGAAGCUGGAAUUACUAGUAAUCGUGGAUCAGCGUGCCACGGUGAAUGCGUUCCCGGGUCUUGUACACACCGCCCGUCACACCAUGGGAGUUGGUUCUACCUUAAGGCAAGGUUUCAAACCCUUGACCACGGUAUAGUCAGCGACUGGGGUGAAGUCGUAACAAGGUAACC